UGUCCGCCAGAAAACUACGAGCGAAAAGCUUAAAACUCAAAGGACUUGGCGGUGCUCCACAUCAACUUAGAGGAGCCUGUCCUAUAAUCGAUAAUCCACGAUACACCAUACCAGUCUUUGCCAAUCUCAGCCUAUAUACCGCCGUCGCCAACCUACCCCAUGAGGGAAAAACAGUAAGUAUAAUAGUUUAAUAACUAAAACGUCAGGUCAAGGUGUAGCUAAUAGACUGGAAGAGAUGGGCUACAUUUUUUAAAAUAAAAAAUACGGCAUAGCAUUAUGAAAUUAAUGCCUGAAGGAGGAUUUAAUAGUAAAACUAACAAGAAAAUUAGUUUUAAACA
rnacentral:rRNA from 1 species